AGCUGAUCACUGGGCGUAAAGCGUGCGCAGGCGGUUUUGUAAGACAGAGGUGAAAUCCCCGGGCUCAACCUGGGAACUGCCUUUGUGACUGCAAGGCUGGAGUACGGCAGAGGGGGAUGGAAUUCCGCGUGUAGCAGUGAAAUGCGUAGAUAUGCGGAGGAACACCGAUGGCGAAGGCAAUCCCCUGGGCCUGCACUGACGCUCAUGCACGAAAGCGUGGGGAGCAAACA
rnacentral:rRNA from 1 species